AUUGAACGCUGGCGGCAGGCCUAACACAUGCAAGUCGAGCGGUAGAGAGAAGCUUGCUUCUCUUGAGAGCGGCGGACGGGUGAGUAAUGCCUAGGAAUCUGCCUGGUAGUGGGGGAUAACGUUCGGAAACGGACGCUAAUACCGCAUACGUCCUACGGGAGAAAGCAGGGGACCUUCGGGCCUUGCGCUAUCAGAUGAGCCUAGGUCGGAUUAGCUAGUUGGUGGGGUAAUGGCUCACCAAGGCGACGAUCCGUAACUGGUCUGAGAGGAUGAUCAGUCACACUGGAACUGAGACACGGUCCAGACUCCUACGGGAGGCAGCAGUGGGGAAUAUUGGACAAUGGGCGAAAGCCUGAUCCAGCCAUGCCGCGUGUGUGAAGAAGGUCUUCGGAUUGUAAAGCACUUUAAGUUGGGAGGAAGGGCAGUAAAUUAAUACUUUGCUGUUUUGACGUUACCGACAGAAUAAGCACCGGCUAACUCUGUGCCAGCCGCCGCGGUAAUAC
rnacentral:rRNA from 1 species